CUAAGUCGCAGUGUGUGAAACGUUUCCUAAGUCUAAGAAUUAAAUCUUACAAAAAAGUAGUUAUAACUAAUUUUUCUAUUGUUUGUAAUUUAUCUAUGUAGUUCUGUUCCUUUCUGCUGUCACGACUUGUCUUAAACGUACGUGAUAUGUAAAUAACAUAGAAAUUAAAUUACGGGAAUCACUGAGUAUUUUAAUAAAAUAUAAAACAACUCCGAAAAUAAAUAUUUUAAUCGUUCUAUUAAAAUUCUAUCAACCCUAUAAACUGUUAUUAAUGUUUUGUGUAUCAAUACAUGGCACAUGGCAAUUUUCUUGUCAACGAUUCCCGCUUCGCAUUCAAUGAUUCCUUCGUGACUUCAAUACCCUGGUUGCCAGAGGUUCUGUAUCUUUCGCCUUAUUCCCGCUCCUAUUUAUUUUACGCGAGGCGAAGAGAACCUCUGGUGGCACGCGAUACAAAUCUCU